CUCUAUCUCUCAUUUUUCCCACAACUCUCCUGAGUAGUAUUACUCUGCAGAAAUCUCGCCGAAGUUAGCACCACCGAACCGCCGUCCACCCUCUCCCAUAACCGAGCCGACCAAGCCAACGGAAAGCUUAGUCGAAGGUAACUCCUAAAACCGAGUUUUAAAGGUUUUAGUUUCGGGCCGUUUAGUAUUUUCAAGAUUUCUCCCUAACCGCUUCGAAUCUCGCAAAACCAAGGGUACCAUCGGAUUCGUGACGACGAGACGAAGCCGGAGACACCGAGCGCUGCCACCGCCGACGAGCCACACGCCGCCACGCGCCGGAAGAAGGAAGCGCGUGACGCCCACGCGCAGCCACGCGCCGCCGAGUCCUCGGAGCGUGGAGCUCACGCGCUGCCGCCGGUGACCGGAACCGCCGCUGUUCGCCGGAGCCGCCGUGACCGGCAGCCGUCCGUUCGCCGCCGGGAUUCCGCCGCCGCGUCGUCGCCGGACCGCCGUCGCCGCCAGUGACUUUUCCGAUCCGGAGUCGAUUUAUUCAUUCGAGGUCCAGAAGUCGUAGGUUCAGCAUUGCUAAGGUGAGCCAGACGAGUAGUUAUGACUUGAUGAGUUGGGAUGUGUCAUUUUGGGAUGGAUUAUCGUUUUCAGUAUUCUAUUUGAGACUUUUAUUAAACAGUCGUGUUAUCGACUUAUGUGGAUUUAGUAUGUUUUAUCGGAUUUUUGCGCUGGUAUUUUAUAAAGAACUGGAUGUUUAUGGAAAAA